AGCCCAUGAUUAGGACAUCUCCUGAAUAAGGCUUUGUAUCUCUCCCAAGCAUCAUUCAAGCUCUAGCCUUCACGCUGAACGAAAUUGAAGAUCUCAUCUCGAAUUGCGGAC
rnacentral:snoRNA from 1 species